CUUUAUAUAUAUUGAAAUUGUAUAUUGACCCUUCCUAGCCAUGAAAGAGCAUUUUCUUGUUUAUUGGCAAAGCUGUCACCAUUUAAUUGGUAUCAGAUUCUGACUUGCACAAGUAAAGUUU